rnacentral:rRNA from 1 species
AUUGAACGCUGGCGGCGUGCUUAACACAUGCAAGUCGUGCGGUAACAGGCGUAGCAAUACGUGCUGACGAGCGGCGAACGGGUGCGUAAUACAUGGGAAUCUGCCCUUUAGUGGGGAAUAACCCGGCGAAAGCCGGGCUAAUGCCGCAUAAGAUCUUCGGAUGAAAGCGGGGGAGUCGUAAGACCUCGCGCUGAUGGAUGAGCCCAUGUCGGAUUAGCUAGNGGUGAGGUAACGGCUCACCAAGGCGACGAUCCGUAGCUGGUCUGAGAGGACGGCCAGCCACACUGGGACUGAGACACGGCCCAGACUCCUACGGGAGGCAGCAGUGGGAAUAUUGGACAAUGGGCGAAAGCCUGAUCCAGCGACGCCGCGUGUGUGAAGAAGGCCUGC